GAUGAACGCUGGCGGCGUGCCUAAUACAUGCAAGUCGAGCGAACAGACGAGGAGCUUGCUCCUCUGACGUUAGCGGCGGACGGGUGAGUAACACGUGGAUAACCUACCUAUAAGACUGGGAGAACUUCGGGAAACCGGAGCUAAUACCGGAUAAUAUAUUGAACCGCAGGGUUCAAUAGUGAAAGACGGUUUUGCUGUCACUUAGAGAUGGAUCCGCGCCGCAUUAGCUAGUUGGUAAGGUAACGGCUUACCAAGGCAACGAUGCGUAGCCGACCUGAGAGGGUGAUCGGCCACACUGGAACUGAGACACGGUCCAGACUCCUACGGGAGGCAGCAGUAGGGAAUCUUCCGCAAUGGGCGCAAGCCUGACGGAGCAACGCCGCGUGAGUGAUGAAGGUCUUCGGAUCGUAAAACUCUGUUAUUAGGGAAGAACAAAUGUGUAAGUAACUAUGCACGUCUUGACGGUACCUAAUCAGAAAGCCCCGGCUAACUACGUG
rnacentral:rRNA from 1 species